rnacentral:rRNA from 1 species
UACGUAGGGGGCUAGCGUUGUCCGGAAUCAUUGGGCGUAAAGCGCGUGUAGGCGGCCCGGUAAGUCCGCUGUGAAAGCCGAGGCUCAACCCUCGGAUGCCGGUGGAUACUGCGGUGCUUGAGGACUGGAGAGGAGACUGGAAUUCAUGGUGUAGCAGUGAAAUGCGUAGAGAUCAUGAGGAAGACCAGUGGCGAAAGGCGGGUCUCUGGACAGUUCCUGACACUGAGGCACGAAGGCCAGGGGAGCAAACGGG